GUGCUUGCUUCGGCAGCACAUAUACUAAAAUUGGAGUGAUACAGAGAAGAUUAGCAUGACCCCUGCGCAAGGAUGACACACAAAUUCAUGAAGCGUUCCAUAUUUUU
ensembl:snRNA U6 U6 spliceosomal RNA